GCCCCCGUAGCUCAGCUGGAUAGAGCGCCGGCCUUCUAAGCCGGAUGUCGGAGGUUCGAGUCCUCCCGGGGGCG
rnacentral:tRNA from 1 species